UACGAAGGGGGCUAGCGUUGCUCGGAAUCACUGGGCGUCACGCGCACGUAGGCGGCUUUUUAAGUCAGGGGUGAAAUCCUGGAGCUCAACUCCAGAACUGCCUUUGAUACUGGCGAUCUUGAGUCCGGGAGAGGUGAGUGGAACUGCGAGUGUAGAGGUGAAAUUCGUAGAUAUUCGCAAGAACACCAGUGGCGAAGGCGGCUCACUGGCCCGAUACUGACACUGAGGUGCGAAAGCGUGGGGAGCAAACAGG
rnacentral:rRNA from 1 species